rnacentral:rRNA from 1 species
AACGAACGCUGGCGGCAGGCCUAACACAUGCAAGUCGAGCGAGGACUUCGGUUCUAGCGGCGGACGGGUGAGUAACGCGUGGGAAUGUGCCCUUCUCUACGGAAUAGCCCUGGGAAACUGGGAGUAAUACCGUAUACGCCCUUUUGGGGAAAGAUUUAUCGGAGAAGGAUCAGCCCGCGUUGGAUUAGGUAGUUGGUGGGGUAAUGGCCUACCAAGCCGACGAUCCAUAGCUGGUUUGAGAGGAUGAUCAGCCACACUGGGACUGAGACACGGCCCAGACUCCUACGGGAUGCAGCAGUCGGGAAUCUUAGACAGUGGGGGCAACCAUGAACUAGCCAUGCCGCGUGAGUGAUGAAGGCCGGAGAGUUGUAAAGCGCUUUCAGCUGGGAAGAGAAUGACGGUACCAGCAGAAGAAGCCCCGGCUAACUCCGUG